GUUCUUCAGGGCAGGGUGUAAUUCCCGACCGGCGGUAUAGUCCGCGAGCGCCAUGCGCGCAUGAUUUGGUGAGAUUCCAAAACCGACAGUGACAGUCUGGAUGGAAGAAGAA
rnacentral:ncRNA from 1 species